UCCAGAGGCCCCAAUCAUUAUCCGGAUUUACUGGGCGUAAAGGGUGCGUAGGCGGUUAUAUUAGUCAGGUGUUAAAUCCUGGGGCUCAACCCCAGAACUGCAUUUGAAACGGUAUAACUAGAAUGAGUCAGAGGCUUAGAGAACUCUCGGUGUAGGGGUGAAAUCCGUUGAUAUCGAGGGGAAUACCAAAUGCGAAGGCACUAAGCUGGGACUUUAUUGACGCUGAGGCACGAAAGCGUGGGUAGCGAAUCGG
rnacentral:rRNA from 1 species